GCCUGGGUGGCUCAGUUGGUUGGGCAUCUGACUUCGGCUCAGGUCAUGAUCUCACGGUUCGUGAGUUCGAGCCCCGUGUCGGGCU
rnacentral:tRNA from 1 species